GUCGCGGUGGUGUAGUGGUAGAGCGCGAGUACCCGGAUAGGAUGAACGCGGGUUCGAUUCCCGAUUGAAACCGCGGCU